UACGGGGGGAGCAAGCGUUGUUCGGAUUUACUGGGCGUAAAGGGCGCGUAGGCGGCCACCGCAAGUCGACUGUGAAAUCUCCGGGCUUAACCCGGAAAGGUCAGCCGAUACUGCGGGGCUAGAGUGCAGAAGGGGCAACUGGAAUUCUCGGUGUAGCGGUGAAAUGCGUAGAGAUCGGGAGGAACACCAGAGGCGAAGGCGGCUAGCUGGAUAGGCACUGACACUCAACUACGAAAGCGUGGGGAGCAAACAGG
rnacentral:rRNA from 1 species